rnacentral:rRNA from 1 species
CGGUGAUCUAGCCAUGGGCAGGUUGAAGGUUGGGUAACACUAACUGGAGGACCGAACCGACUAAUGUUGAAAAAUUAGCGGAUGACCUGUGGCUGGGGGUGAAAGGCCAAUCAAACCGGGAGAUAGCUGGUUCUCCCCGAAAGCUAUUUAGGUAGCGCCUCGUGAAUUCAUCUCCGGGGGUAGAGCACUGUUUCGGCUAGGGGGCCAUCCCGGCUUACCAACCCGAUGCAAACUGCGAAUACCGGAGAAUGUUAUCACGGGAGACACACGGCGGGUGCUAACGUCCGUCGUGAAGAGGGAAACAACCCAGACCGCCAGCUAAGGUCCCAAAGUCAUGGUUAAGUGGGAAACGAUGUGGGAAGGCCCAGACAGCCAGGAUGUUGGCUUAGAAGCAGCCAUCAUUUAAAGAAAGCGUAAUAGCUCACUGGUCGAGUCGGCCUGCGCGGAAGAUGUAACGGGGCUAAACCAUGCACCGAAGCUGCGGCAGCGACACUGUGUGUUGUUGGGUAGGGGAGCGUUCUGUAAGCCUGUGAAGGUGUGUCGUGAGGCA